rnacentral:misc_RNA from 1 species
GACUGCUACCUGGCCAAC